AUGCUCGCUUUGGCAGCACAAGGUCUAAAAUUGGAAGGAUACAGAAUAGAUUAGCAUGGCCCCUAUGCAAGGACGACAUACAAAUUCAUGAAGCAUUCAAAAGAGAA
ensembl:snRNA U6 U6 spliceosomal RNA